ensembl:lncRNA
GGGAAAACUAAAGAGAGGGCAUGUGAGGGGUGAGGUAGUGAUACGAUGGGUAAGGUGGAGAUGUUAGGGGUGAGGAGGGGAUGUGAGGGGUGAGGAGGUGGUGAUGUGAGCGGUGAGGAGGUGGUGAUGUAAGCGGUGAGGAGGUGGUGAUGUGAGCGUUGAGGAGGUGGUGAUGUGAGCGUUGAGGAGGUGGUGAUGUGAGCGGUGAGGAGGUGGUGAUGUGAGCGUUGAGGAGGUGGUGAUGUGAGUAGUGAGGAGGUGGUGAUGUGAGUAGUGAGGAGGUGGUGAUGUGAGCGGUGAGGAGGUGGUGAUGUGAGCGGUGAGGAGGUGGUG